rnacentral:rRNA from 1 species
UACGUAGGGGGCGAGCGUUGUCCGGAUUUAUUGGGCGUAAAGAGCUCGUAGGCGGCUUGUCGCGUCGACCGUGAAAACUUGGGGCUCAACCCCAAGCCUGCGGUCGAUACGGGCAGGCUAGAGUUCGGUAGGGGAGACUGGAAUUCCUGGUGUAGCGGUGAAAUGCGCAGAUAACAGGAGGAACACCGGUGGCGAAGGCGGGUCUCUGGGCCGAUAUUGACGCUGAGGAGCGAAAGCGUGGGGAGCGAACAGG